rnacentral:rRNA from 1 species
GAACGAACGCUGGCGGCAGGCCUAAAACAUGCAAGUCGAACGGGUGUAGCAAUACAUCAGUGGCGCACGGGUGAGUAACGCGUGGGAACGUGCCCUUCAGUACGGGACAACGUCGGGAAACUGACGCUAAUACCGUAUAAUGACUCCGGUCCAAAGAUUUAUCGCUGAAGGAGCGGCCCGCGUCUGAUUAGCUAGUUGGUGAGGUAAUGGCUCACCAAGGCUACGAUCAGUAGCAGGUCUGAGAGGAUGAUCUGCCACACUGGGACUGAGACACGGCCCAGACUCCUACGGGAGGCAGCAGUUAGGAAUAUUGGACAAUGGGCGAAAGCCUGAUCCAGCCAUGCCGCGUGUGUGAUGAAGGCCCUAGGGUUGUAAAGCACUUUCGUUGGGGAUGAUAAUGACCGUACCCAAAGAAGAAGCACCGGCUAACUUCGUG